rnacentral:rRNA from 1 species
AUUGAACGCUAGCGGCAUGCCUAACACAUGCAAGUCGAACGAGUGGCGGACGGGUGAGUAAUAUCUGGGAAACUGCCCGGUGGAGGGGGAUAACUACCGGAAAGGGUAGCUAAUACCGCAUACUAUCGGAUGGGCCCAGAUGGGAUUAGCUAGUAGGUGGGGUAAAGGCUCACCUAGGCGACGAUCCCUAGCUGGUCUGAGAGGAUGACCAGCCACACGGGAACUGAGACACGGUCCAGACGCCUACGGGAGGCGAGCGGGGGGAAAAGUUGACAAUGGGCGGAAGCCUGAUGGAGCCAGUCCGCGGUGAUGAAGAAGGCCGUCGGGGUGUAAAGUUCUUUCAGAGGGGAGGCGGUACCCGCAGAAUAAGCACCGGCUAACUCCGUUCCAGCAGCCGCGGUAAUUC